rnacentral:rRNA from 1 species
AUACAGAGGGUGCGAGCGUUAAUCGGAAUUACUGGGCGUAAAGCGUGCGUAGGCGGCUGAUUAAGUCAGAUGUGAAAUCCCAGGGCUCAACCUUGGAACUGCAUCUGAUACUGGUCAGCUAGAGUUUAGGAGAGGGAAGUAGAAUUUCAGGUGUAGCGGUGAAAUGCAUAGAUAUCUGAAGGAAUACCAGUGGCGAAGGCGGCUUCCUGGCCUAAAACUGACGCUGAGGUGCGAAAGCGUGGGUAGCAAACGGGAUUAGAAACCCCAGUAGUCC